AACCCGACCUCAUGAAGCCGGAAUCACUAGUAAUCGCGGGUCAGCCACACCGCGGUGAAUACGUUCUCAAGCCUUGUACUC
rnacentral:rRNA from 1 species